rnacentral:rRNA from 1 species
AUUGAACGCUGGCGGCAGGCCUAACACAUGCAAGUCGAACGAGUGGCGGACGGGCGAGUAAUGUCUGGGAAACUGCCUGUUGGAGGGGGAUAACUACUGGAAACGGUAGCUAAUACCGCAUACCAUCAGAUGUGCCCAGAUGGGAUUCGCUUGUUGGUUGGGUAACGGCUCACCAAGGCGACGAUCCCUAGCUGGUCUGUGAGGAUGACCAGCCGCCCUAGAACUGAGACACGGUCCAGACUCCUACGGUAGGCAGCAGUGGGGAAUAUUGCGCAAUCGGCGCAAGCCUGCUGCAGCCAUGCCGCGUGUAUGAAGAAGGCCUUCGGGUUGUAAAGUACUUUCAGCGGGGAGGCGUUACCCGAAGAAGAAGCACCGGCUAACUCCGUGCCAGCAGCCGCGGUGCUUC